rnacentral:rRNA from 1 species
GAUGAACGCUGGCGGCGUGCCUAAUACAUGCAAGUCGAGCGAACAGACGAGGAGCUUGCUCCUCUGACGUUAGCGGCGGACGGGUGAGUAACACGUGGAUAACCUACCUAUAAGACUGGGAUCACUUCGGGAAACCGGAUCUAAUACCGGAUAAUAUAUUGCACCGCAUUGUUCAAUAGUGAAAGACGGCUUUGCUGUCACUUAUAGAUGGAUCCGCGCCGCGUUAGCUAGUUGGUAAUGUAACGGCUUACCAAGGCAACGAUGCGUAGCCGACCUGAGAGGGUGAUCGGCCACGCUGGAAAUCAGACACGGUCCAGACUAGUACGGGAGGCAGCAGUAGGGGAUCGUACGAAAUGGGAGAAAGCCUGACGGGGCGACGCCGCGUGAGUGAUGAAGGUCUUCGGAUAGUAAAACUCUGUUAUUAGGGAAGAACAAAUGUGUAAGUAACUAUGCACGUCUUGACGGUACCUAAUAAGAAAGCCCCGGCUAACUA